rnacentral:rRNA from 1 species
UACGUAGGGGCCUAGCGUUGUCCGGAAUUAUUGGGCGUAAAGAGCUCGUAGGCGGUUCGGCAAGUCGGAUGUGAAAUCUCCACGCUUAACGUGGAGGGGCCAUUCGAAACUGCUGUGACUCGAGUCCGGUAGGGGAGUGUGGAAUUCCCGGUGUAGCGGUGAAAUGCGCAGAUAUCGGGAGGAACACCUGUGGCGAAAGCGGCGCACUGGACCACAACUGACGCUGAGGCGCGAAAGCUAGGGGAGCAAACAGG